rnacentral:rRNA from 1 species
UCUGGUUGAUUCUGCCAGUAGUCAUAUGCUUGUCUCAAAGAUUAAGCCAUGCAUGUCUAAGUAUAAGCACUUUAUACUGUGAAACUGCGAAUGGCUCAUUAAAUCAGUUAUCGUUUAUUUGAUAGUACCUUACUACAUGGAUACCUGUGGUAAUUCUAGAGCUAAUACAUGCUAAAAACCUCGACUUCGGAAGGGGUGUAUUUAUUAGAUAAAAAACCAAUGCCCUUCGGGGCUCCUUGGUGAUUCAUAAUAACUUAACGAAUCGCAUGGCCUUGCGCCGGCGAUGGUUCAUUCAAAUUUCUGCCCUAUCAACUUUCGAUGGUAGGAUAGUGGCCUACCAUGGUGGCAACGGGUAACGGGGAAUUAGGGUUCGAUUCCGGAGAGGGAGCCUGAGAAACGGCUACCACAUCCAAGGAAGGCAGCAGGCGCGCAAAUUACCCAAUCCCGACACGGGGAGGUAGUGACAAUAAAUACUGAUACGGGGCUCUUUUGGGUCUCGUAAUUGGAAUGAGUACAAUCUAAAUCCCUUAACGAGGAACAAUUGGAGGGCAAGUCUGGUGCCAGCAGCCGCGGUAAUUCCAGCUCCAAUAGCGUAUAUUAAAGUUGUUGCAGUUAAAAAGCUCGUAGUUGAACCUUGGGUCUGGCUGGCCGGUCCGCCUCACCGCGAGUACUGGUCCGGCUGGACCUUUCCUUCUGGGGAACCUCAUGGCCUUCACUGGCUGUGGGGGGAACCAGGACUUUUACUGUGAAAAAAUUAGAGUGUUCAAAGCAGGCCUUUGCUCGAAUACAUUAGCAUGGAAUAAUAGAAUAGGACGUGCGGUCUAUUUUGUUGGUUUCUAGGACCGCCGUAAUGAUUAAUAGGAUAGUCGGGGGCGUCAGUAUUCAGCUGUCAGAGGUGAAAUUCUUGGAUUUGCUGAAGACUAACUACUGCGAAAGCAUUUCGCCAAGGAUGUUUUCAUUAAUCAGGGAACGAAAGUUAGGGGAUCGAAGACGAUCAGAUACCGUCGUAGUCUUAACCAUAAACUAUGCCGACUAGGGAUCGGGCGGUGUUUCUAUGAUGACCCGCGCGGCACCUUACGAGAAAUCAAAGUUUUUGGUUUCUGGGGGGAGUAUGGUCGCAAGGCUGAAACUUAAGAGAUAUUUACGGAGGGCAACACAAGGCGUUGAGCCUGCGGCUUAAUUUGACUCACACACGGGGAACCUCACCAGGUCCAGACAAAAUAAGGAUUGACAGAUUGAGAGCUCUUUCUUGAUCUU